ACGCACACACACACACAGUAAAGCAAAAAGCUAGUUUCCUUGUCCUUGGCUUCUGCAUGGAAAACUGUGAUCCUCUUUGCUUCCCAGGCACCUCAGGAGAGAUGAAAAUUAAAACCCUUCCAAUGGAAAUACACUUUCACCUUGAGGCUCUCUUCCUUCUUCUCAAUUAAAGAGUAUUUUGGGAAACAACUGGUCAUUUAGGGCCUUAAACACUAAAGUGAGUGCUCACUCCUUACCCCUUCCCUUAAAGAAGGUGGAGAAAGAAUAGAAGCCUCUUGGAGAAGUUUGUAAUUCUCCCCGGCAGGACGUACCGUGGCAGCAGGAGUGCACUGCGCUGGAGGAGGCCCCAAGACGGUGUGUGCGGGAGGGCGCUGGGUGUGGGGCUGUUCGCAAGCGGUGGAGUGAAAAUCCUGCAUCACGGACUUCAGGAAGAGAUGUUGGGUCCCGGUGGCGAUGGCAGCGUGGAACAGCAGCAGCCCAUCCCCACACCUGAAGCACAACUCCCCUCUCCACUGAGAACCAUUUUCAUCACUCAAUAAAAUUCUCCACUUUCACCACCCUUCAACCUUCCAUGUGACCCCAUUCUUCAUGGACACUGGACAAGAGCUCGAGACCCACCCAGUGCAGUGGUGCUGGGCAGCUCCUCCCUCCCUGAGGGCUGUUCUGCCAACCUCACGACACCAUCAUAGAAGACUUCAGAGACUGACUGUUGCAGGUUGAACUGUGUCCUCCAAAAAGAUAUGUUGAGUCCCUAAUCUCCAGUACCUGUGUAUGUGACCCUAUCCGGAAAUAGAGUUUUUGUGGAUGUAAUCAUACUGGAUUUGGAUGAACCCUAAUCGAAGAUGACCAGGGUCCUUCUAAGAAGAGAAUAGAUGCAUGUGCGCGCAAGCGCGCGCGCGCACACACACACACACACACACACACACACACACACACAGAGGACCAUGUGACAGCUGAGAGAUUGGAGUGACGUGUCUGCAAGCAAAAAAUGCCAAGGAUUGCCAGCAACCACCUAUGGUCUCCUCCCCUAGAUCAUCUAGAGAGAACACAGCCAUGCUGACAUCAUCAUUUCAGGCCUCUAUCCUCUGGAACUGCAAUAUAAUAAACUUCUGUAGUUUUAAGCCACUCCAUUUGUGCUACUUUGUUAUAGAAGCACUAGGAACCUAUUACUCUCACCUUUGCUUUUCCCAUUCACUCUACGGACUUUCCUUUUUAAGCUUCCCUCCCCAAACAUUGUCUCUCAUAGGAUUCUCAUCCAUGUAUUUGUGCAUGAACUUCCCCGCAUCUUAUGAAAUAUCUGAGUAAAUGUUUA
rnacentral:lncRNA from 10 species